GUCGAGCGAACGGACGAGAAGCUUGCUUCUCUGAUGUUAGCGGCGGACGGGUGAGUAACACGUGGAUAACCUACCUAUAAGACUGGGAUAACUUCGGGAAACCGGAGCUAAUACCGGAUAAUAUUAUGAACCGCAUGGUUCAAAAGUGAAAGACGGUCUUGCUGUCACUUAUAGAUGGAUCCGCGCUGCAUUAGCUAGUUGGUAAGGUAACGGCUUACCAAGGCAACGACGCAUAGCCGACCUGAGAGGGUGAUCGGCCACACUGGAACUGAGACACGGUCCAGACUCCUACGGGAGGCAGCAGUAGGGAAUCCUCCGCAAUGGGCGAAAGCCUGACGGAGCAACGCCGCGUGAGUGAUGAAGGUCUUCGGAUCGUAAAACUCUGUUAUUAGGGAAGAACAUAUGUGUAAGUAACUGUGCACAUCUUGACGGUACCUAAUCAGAAAGCCACGGCUAACUACGUGCCAGCAGCCGCGGUAAUACGUAGGUGGCAAGCGUUAUCCGGAAUUAUUGGGCGUAAAGCGCGCGUAGGCGGUUUUUUAAGUCUGAUGUGAAAGCCCACGGCUCAACCGUGGAGGGUCAUUGGAAACUGGAAAACUUGAGUGCAGAAGAGGAAAGUGGAAUUCCAUGUGUAGCGGUGAAAUGCGCAGAGAUAUGGAGGAACACCAGUGGCGAA
rnacentral:rRNA from 1 species